AUGACAGGCUAUAAAGCACAUCCUUUGCUUAUUGGUAUGCCCACCUGUUCCAGAUCGUUUGCAGGGCUGCCAGUAACAGAAGGAAGUGGCAUAAACGAUACAUGUCUUUUUUCAGUAAGAUUCUCCUGCAAGAUCCAUAGAGAACAUCAACCAUUAUUUUCUAAAGCCAAUCAGAGGUCUUCUGAGCCCAUAUGCUCAUCUCGAUGGCUCUGCAAGCUGGUCUUAUUUCCCCCAACUCCAGCUAUUCCAGUCACGUGGUGCCUAAACUGCUUCAUUAGGCAGAACCAGCAAAGACAGUGUUCGGGAAAUGGUGUGCCCUUGAUUCCAAAUAGAAGCAGAGUGCUCUUUUUUUUUUUUUCUUCCCUUUAAAAGGCAANNNNNNNNNNNNUAGCUUAGCAAGAUAACGGAAAUGCAUCACUGGGCUCUGAGGGGCUUAAGACUUGUGUUGGACUGUGUCCUUUCCAUCCACACGACUUGGGGACUCCUCACCUAGUCCUGAGAUUUCCCAGGUGAAGGAGCCGGCUGACUCUUCCUCUCCUUUCUCCUGUGCUCCCACCCCAUCUGUACUGAACACCAUGUUCCCAGACAACUUCCCUCCGGAACUGUAAUUUUCUGAUUAAUGUUACUCUGUGAGAAGAUGCAAAAUGGAUGAGCAGGUCACCCCAUUCCCUAAAGAACUGUAAUUGGAAUGCAGAAAUACCCAGCCUAAGUUUUUCAGUUAUACAUAAAAUAUUCUAUUUUUAAAUCUACUUUUUUGAUGUAGAUGUUUUAAUGUAGUUAAUUAUUAUAACUCUGAUGACUCUGUUCAGGAAAAUAAAAUCUGUUGAAUCCCCAAGUGAUGUUUGGGGUUGUGUGUGUAUUUUUUUUAAGGGAGGUGAAGUUUAAUUUCUCGCUCAAAUAUCACAGGGUUCUAAGAAAGACUCCAUCAUUUCUUAUAAAACAUAUCAUUUUCUUUGAACACCUGAGAUUGGAUUUUGUGCAAAAUGAAAAUAAGCCCAUAUUUACUCCGCAAGAAGGAGCACUGGGUUAAGAAAGACUACUGAAACAGGAAUCAAAGGAUUUGAGUUGUCAUUGAAAUCAAGAAACUAGGAAAAAUUUGGCUUUGGGUAAAUACAUCAUUGGGGGCCCUAUAUUUUAUCUACACAAAUUAAAAGGCCAGACUAAAUGACAUUAAGAUCCCUUCAGACUCUAAAAUUCCACUAUUCUAAUCAACUAUGGACAAAAAUGAUGAAAAAUGAUGUCUUAAUUUAACAUUUAGUAAAUCACAAUGGAAUAAAUCUUCUCUCUGAAAAAAGUGUUCUAUGUGAACAUUUUUUAAAAUUUUAUCUCCUUAAUACACAUUAUUAAAAUACCUCNNNNNNNNNNNNNNNNNNNNNNNNNNAACAUGGCCAUUCGUGGAGAAUUAGAACUGUAACAACAAGAGUAAAACUCACCAUGUGGGUUCAAAGAGACAUUGAAAAUCUCAUUCUUAGUUUUUGACUUUGCCAUCCUCUGAAGGAAAUUUGGCUAUUGUCCAGUUUAAUUUAUGUAACACUUUGUUGCUGUGUUUAACAUAAUUGCAAACAUGAUAUGCAUUCAUAAUUUAACCCUAAGCUCUAACAGUUUGUUUUUCAUCUCAUCAAAAGCUAGCUGUUAGAGGAAAGGAAUUCUAUUAUGGAUUUUUAAGUCAAAUGUUAGACAGCAGCAAGAUCCAAAAUUUUCAAAAGACAUUCUCUAUGUUUGUGCUAUUUGUUUAAGAGAAUGUGAGAUGGUACUUUCUGUAUCACUAAAUAUUAUCCAUAAUGUGGCUAACUAAUAUUCCAUGGGAUAUAACUGGAAUAAUUUUGAUUAAUAAUUAUGAUUAAGAAAUCAUAAUUUAACCCUUUCCUAUUACACAUUAAAUAUUUUUAAAAUUUUUCACUCUUAGAGAUAACACUGCAACAAAUAUCCAAUACUUUAUUCAAGUGUUAUAUUCACAAUUUCUCCCCAGGACAAAGUUCUGUUUUGUUUAAUCUCUAACAAUUUGGUAGAUAAUACGAGACAUCUCCUUAUGGCUUUAGUUUUUGAAUAUCAGUGAGGUUGUACGUGUUUUUACAUAUGUAUUGUCAAUUUGUAUUUCUUUGGAAAACUGCUUGUUCAUUUCUGCCUAUUUUUCAUUAAGAAGUUAUAAUUUUUAUUGAUUUAUGAUACUUAUAUUAUCAUGAAUCUUAACCUACUAACGCAUAUUUUGUGCUUUUCACAACUUGUCAUUUGCUUUUCAAAUUUUGAUUCUUUUGAUUUAUAGAAGGUGUAAAUAUUUACAUAGUCAAAUCAAUCUUUAUUUUUAUUGCUGUUCUUUUACUGAUAUUAUAUACAGAAUAUCUUUCUACAGAGGAAUAUGACAAAAUAUUAACGUUAUGGUGCUUUUAUGAUUUCUUUUUUCCUUUUAUCCUUUUGUUUACAUUUAACUCUAUAAUACAUCUGGAAUUUACACUGAAAUACUGCUGUUUAAGGUAAAAAUAGAAAUUUUCCCCACUAAAAUUAACCUCAUUCCUAUUUAUUAANNNNNNNNNNNNNNNNNNNNNNNNNNNNNNNNNNNNNNNNNNNNNNNNNNNNNNNNNNNNNNNNNNNNNNNNNNNNNNNNNNNNNNNNNNNNNNNNNNNCCCACUAAAAUUAACCUCAUUCCUAUUUAUUAAGUAAACUUUUAUUUUUACACAUGUUUUAAAGACUAUAUCAUCAUAGACUAUUUUAUGCUGUGUAAUGAAUCUUUUCAGGAGUUUUCUGCUUCUAGACUCAUUUCCAGGUCUUACUAAUUUAGUGUCCUUGAUUAAGUCAGUUCACUUCUGGUGCCUUUUUAAUUUUUUUGUUUUUUUGACCAUACCAUGCGGCAUGUAGGAUCCUAGUUCCCUGCCCAGGGGUUGAACCUGCGCCCCCUGAGCUGGAAGUACAGAGUCUCAGCCACUGAACUGCCAGGGAAGUCCCAGCCCAUUCACUUCGAUGUCUAAUUCCAUUAUCUGCCAAACAGCUAGAUCUACUUGCAGCUCAUUUUAAAGAUCAGAAAUGAUUCGUGUGAAAUGCUUAUCACAAGCAUACAGAAAUUAGAAGCACUCAAUAAAUAUAAGUUCCUGUUCAUUAUUAUUUUUAGUUGAGAUCUAUAUCUCAUCUUGUACCAGUACCACAAUGACAAACACAUUUUGAAAUUUACCAUGUGCUCUGACACAUCAGCAUGGGGAAACUGACAUGUUUACUUACCACACAAGCCUAAUUAUCAACAACUUCUACCCAGAAGUCAUAAAUUUAACAACUAUUUGGGCACAUACAGGAUGCAAGACACUGUAUUAGGCACUGGAGGGGAUACAAAGAUAAACGAGAACCAGGAAUGCCGUUCAGCAAUUUUUUAACCUCAGUAUCCUUCUGUUAAAGCACAAUGUACAUGCAAUAUUUUUGAUUCACCCAAAUGUUUAUUAGCCUCUGCUAUACGCAGACACAGUGCUGGGGCUGAAUACUAAAACAUAGAGUAUUCUGUGCAGGAGUCCCCAUAUAAAUCUGCACAUAUCAGAUGUGAACAAAUAUGUCCAGUUUGGGGAAUUUAUUGAGAUAAUCUCCCAACAAAGUUCAACUCAAAUGCCUUCUUCAUGAAGUCCUCCCUGAUUUCUCCACGAGAGGUCAUUCUGUUUACUCAGAAUCCCCCUAUUUCUCUCUAAUGGAGCCUCACGUAUCCCAUUCCUCUGGCUUCCCGAGCAUCUGUUCCAGCUGUUGUGCAUCGCUGCUGUGUUUAUCUGUAUGCCUGUCUGUCACUCAUCCGCUUUUGGACUCUCCUGUCCUCAAUGUCAGAUCUGUAUCUUUUUCACCUUUGCAGCCCUAGCAAACACACUGCCCAUUUAGUAAUAAGAACAUGUAAACGAUGUUCAGUUUCUUUCCCCAUGUAGAAUAUGCUGGUUGAAUGAACUUAUCAUAUUAUAGGGGCUUCCCUGAUAGCUCAGUUGGUAAAGAAUCUGCCUGCAAUG
ensembl:lncRNA